rnacentral:lncRNA from 10 species
CAGUGGAGAGUUUCAUUAGGAUCACCUGGGCCCGGCAGCCGGGGACCUGCUGGGGUUUCCUGUGAAGCGCAGAUCUAUAAACCUACAGGAUUGACACAGCUCUUCCUGAAGCAUCAAUUUAUUUGAUGAGUAAUUUCAAAAUGUUACUUUUGAAAAGAUAAUGCUAUUUUUGUACUAAAAUGGAACACAAGAAUUUGACUGCAAAAUUCACCUGUUCAAAAUAAAUGAGACAUGUAAUUUCUUACAAACCCCAAAACUCGGGGGGUCCUAGGGUGGGGGUAGUUUUCUGCAGGGCGAUGACAUAUCCUGCAGCGAAGUCUCAGAAACCCUGCUCUGGGCAGUCCAUCUAUUUGUCCACUCAUGUUCUUAGACACAUCCCAGGGGCUGGCCCUGAGCUACUGGGAUGACUGGAGGAGCAUCCAGGGCUGGGGGAGGGGAGUGACUCCCACACAGCAGGUACCCGGAGGUAGGAGGCUGGAUCCACGGAAGGUUCUGAUGUCAGCACUGUCUGUACCACAAGAUGGCUUUACUGAAAUGCCGAGUGCAGGAGCUUAAUCAUGGCGCAUGUGGAAACCAGCCAUGGGCUCUCAGGCCCACUCCUGCCCUGCCCUGGCCCCUCUGUGAUGGGAGAACCAGGACAAGAAGGGGCUGGAUCAGGUGACUGGUCACACAACCUGGGGUCCUUUCACCUUUCUGGGGGUCCCUGAAGGUAGGAAUGGAGUCUGUGAACUGGUGUCAGUAUUUCUCAAAGCCAGCUGUCAGACACUGUGUCUGUCCCUGACGCGGCCGCCCAGGCUCGUGGAAUGCCAAGCGCCUGUCUCUGCUCGGGGCUGACAUCACCUCCGCGUGGGAACAGAGCCUGUGCUCAUGCCGAGCUCAUCGGGAUUGGCAGAAAUCUGCAUCCUUGUUUGGUUUCAAAACAGGGGGCCCAGAAGGAAGACUCAUGAAAGAUGCCCUUGUCGGCGGAAAUUUCAGGAGCUUGGCCCACAGCCCCUGUCUGCACUUCGGCUGUGAAGAGGCCAGAACCACGACGGUACAACUCCUAGUGAGGAUGGCUCACGGGUGCUGCGGCGCCCUCAGACCACCUGCCCCCGUCCUGGGACAACGGGAUUUCUGAGGGCCAGGACCUCCGUCAAGCCAGCAACCUAGCUGGGUUUUGGGAGAGACUGAUGUCUUUUUUUUUUUUCUUGAGACAGGGUCUCGCUCUGUCGCCCAGGCUCUGGAGUGCAGUGGUGCUAUCUUGGCUCACUGCAAGCUCCGCCUCCCAGGUUCACGCUAUUCUCCUGCCUCAGCCUCCAGAGUAGCUGGGACUACAGGUGCCCACCACCACAUCCGGCUAACUUUUUUUAUUUUUAGUAGAGACAGGGUUUCACCGUGUUAGCCAGGAUGGUCUCGAUCUCCUGACCUCAUGAUCUGCCUGCCUUGGCCUCUGAAAGUGCUGGGAUUACAGGCCUGAGCCACCGCGCCCGGCCGAGACUGAUGUCUUUAAGGAAUGAGUGGGCAGGAGGUGGGGGAUGGGCUUCUCUGGUUCCAUCUGAUCCUGCCUCAGUGCUUUCCCCACGGAGGCUAUGGGAGGCAGACAGGCUGGAGAGGGCCACUUUGGCCCACCUUGUGUCAGACGCCACCUGGGGACGUGGACGGUGGCAGUGACCCACCAGGGCUGCACAGCUUCGCCUCGCUGUGCCAUUCACUUUCCUUACCUUGACUCCUGGCCCCUUAAGUCCUCAAACCCAUUCCCGAGCUUCCCCUCUUAGAUGAAACAGUGUCCCUCUCACCUUCAUUUCCCUCCAGGAGACAGGCUCAAGUGCAGUAAGUAACACCAAGGCUGGGGACAGGGGACAUAAAGUCAACAGUGCAGCGCCCGGCCCCACACGCUUAGGGCAGAGCAGGUGCUGGGAGAGACCUGGGGCCCAGAGUUGCAUGGUGGCCACUUGUGACCAGGACUGUGCCUGAACCUGUCUGUGCCUCAGUUACUCACCAUGUCUCUCUCUCUCUCUCGGGUGGCAGGGCUGACACCAAAGCUCCAGGAGUGUUCAGGGGCC